rnacentral:rRNA from 1 species
CCUUCGGGGUACUCGAGUGGCGAACGGGUGAGUAACACGUGGGUGAUCUGCCCUGCACUUCGGGAUAAGCCUGGGAAACUGGGUCUAAUACCGGAUAUACCUCAUGGACUGCAUGGUUUGUGGGGGAAAGCUUUUGCGGUGUGGGAUGGGCCCGCGGCCUAUCAGCUUGUUGGUGGGGUGAUGGCCUACCAAGGCGUCGACGGGUAGCCGGCCUGAGAGGGUGUCCGGCCACACUGGGACUGAGAUACGGCCCAGACUCCUACGGGAGGCAGCAGUGGGGAAUAUUGCACAAUGGGCGCAAGCCUGAUGCAGCGACGCCGCGUGGGGGAUGACGGCCUUCGGGUUGUAAACCUCUUUCAGCACAGACGAAGCGCAAGUGACGGUAUGUGCAGAAGAAGCACCGGCCAACUACGUGCCAGCAGCCGCGGUAAUACGUAGGGUGCGAGCGUUGUCCGGAAUUACUGGGCGUAAAGAGCUUGUAGGUGGUUUGUCGCGUUGUUCGUGAAAUCUCACGGCUUAACUGUGAGCGUGCGGGCGAUACGGGCAGACUAGAGUACUGCAGGGGAGACUGGAAUUCCUGGUGUAGCGGUGGAAUGCGCAGAUAUCAGGAGGAACACCGGUGGCGAAGGCGGGUCUCUGGGCAGUAACUGACGCUGAGAAGCGAAAGCGUGGGGAGCGAACAGGAUUAGAUACCCUGGUAGUCCACGCCGUAAACGGUGGGUACUAGGUGUGGGUUUCCUUCCUUGGGAUCCGUGCCGUAGCUAACGCAUUAAGUACCCCGCCUGGGGAGUACGGCCGCAAGGCUAAAACUCAAAGGAAUUGACGGGGGCCCGCACAAGCGGCGGANCAUGUGGAUUAAUUCGAUGCAACGCGAAGAACCUUACCUGGGCUUGACAUGCACUAGAAAGCCGUANAGAUANGGCCCCCCUUGUGGNUGGUGUGCANGUGGUGCAUGG